CGAGCGGGGAGCGCGUGCUCUGCAGAGCACAUGGGCAGCAAAGCAGCCAGGCAGCAAGCAAGCAAGCAAGCAAGCAACUCCAUUGCUCCUUCUCCUCGCUGCACAACCCAGGCCAGGGAAGCCUUUUCUAGACCCCUCUCCACCUUGUUUUUUCAAUGGAUCUAUAGAUAUAUUUUUUUGCAACUUGGAUGUUUAUGGAAAACCGCCUCCCCCCCCUCUCUUUCCGGCCUUGUUGGAGGGGAUGAUGGGUGGUCUCUGGGCUUGAGUUCUCAGCCAAUCCGGGGGUUGCAGAAACAUCUCCAAGGUUGUGGGAUUUAUCCAAACACCCAGAAGACUCCUGAGAAUGCCAGCUGCAGACAAAAUGCCUUCAGGGGGAGGAAUUCUUCCUUUUGUACAUUUCAAGAAUUGGUGCACAUGUAGCGCUGAAGAUGGAUUAUUCUCUUAUUAUCACUGGAAUAUGUUUUUUUUUUGUGAUCCCUGGAAGCAAAAGAAAACACAACAAAAGCAUGAAUCAUUUCAAUAUAAGGCUGCUCACUCUUCCAUGUCAUGCAAGCAUGUUGCUGCCCAGAUAAUUGCAGAAGCAGUGGCCGAGGUUUGGAAUCAGAUCUGACACGGUGAAAUGAAAGACGGCAGCAGAUGCUGAGCGUAACAACAAAAGUGUACACACAGGAGAAACACAACAGGAUUUUUUUCUUUCUCCUUUCUUUCUUUCAAGCCGAUUUCUCCUUUCAGCAGCACCCUCUGAGC